rnacentral:antisense_RNA from 1 species
UGAAAUCCUAACUGAAUUAAUAUAAUAUUUAAUAUAAUCCCAACAGGAGUCAUUGCAAUAUUCAUCCAAAACCCUGCCCAUUGAGUUGAAGCAAGCUGUAUAUAUCUAACCUUAAUAUAUAAAUCAAUAUUUUCACUAGCUUGACUUCUAAGCAUUUCUUGUUUUCUAAGCAUUGCAAUUGUUAAACCUCCAAGCUGUGUUCCAGAAAAUAUUCCACAUAUUGAGGAAAAAAGAGAUAUUGAAAACCUCUGAUAUUCCCUAUAAGAUGAAAUAAAUUUAAGGCAUAUCGGCUUUAUAAUAAGCAUUAUCCAUAUAAGAAAAAAUGGUGUAAAAUAAGGAAAUGUAUAUACAAUAAAUAUUGUCUGACCUAUGAUUGUCAAUACUGGUGCUAAACUGGAAAUAAUUGACUUCACAAUACAUGUAUCUAUAAUCAACAUAUCACCCCCAAUCCUAUUCAAUAUAAUAUGUAUUGGUAUUAUAUUUGGUAUUUUUAUUAAUAAAGAAUCGAAUAUACUUUUAUAAAUUUCAUUGGCGCCAAAAGUGCAUGCAAUAGCCUCUAAAAUAAAGACCAGCCCGCCAAAAGUCAAACUGAGACCAGUAGAAAGAGAAUAUAAUAGAAGAAAUCUUUUAAGGGUGUGUGCAUGCGUUGAAUUUCCAGUAAAAAGCAAUUCACUAAGUCUUUCAAGUGCUGAUUUGGAAAGUAAUAUAAACAUGAUAAUAAUAAUGAUUGGCCUUCCAACUUUAGAGAGAUACCAAUUAUAGCUAUUUAGGGAAAUAUGUCCUUUAUUAACAACUUUUUCUUUAAAUGAAUUAAUAAUAGAGGAAUUAUUAUUAGAAAUAAGUUUGUCAGAUUCUGUGUUUUGGCGGGAAAUUUCUGGAUAAUGAUUAAAAUUCAUUGUAUAAGAAUUAUUUUGAACAUUAUAGAUUGGAUCAGAGUGUGUAUGAUUAGGGUUUUUUGGGGAGAAGAUCAUAUGAUGAUGGUCAUUAUUAACAAGAGUAUCAAUACGAGUAUCUGUAAAAAUAGAUUCAAAAUCAUUAAUGAGAACUUGUUGAGGGAUUUUGAAAGAAUUUGGUGAAUAAUUAAAAUGAUCAAUGCAUAAAUAAUGAAAGGAGUUGUAUAGAUUCAAUGAGGGUUUAGAAUCUAGAGUAGAGGAGUAUUUAAGGAAGUUGGAGAGUGAUCUUUGGUCAAUUGUGAUGAUUACUGAAGAAUUUGAGAGAAUUCCAUUGCUAUUAAAGAGAUUGUAAAAGAGUUUAUUAGCAACAAAAUGGUCCAAAUUGGAGAAUAUAUCAUCAAAAAUAAACAAAGGACAAUAUUCUGAUUUAGAAUUGGAGUCCAUAUUAGAGAAAAAGAAGUAAAGAGUUCUUGCAAUACAUAUUCUGGUUUUUUGUCCUUUACUUAAAAUACUCCCUCCUUCGUCAAUUUGCUUUAAAUCUCCCUCUUUCCAUUGUUGAAAGUCUGUUACUAAGUUGCAGCAUUCAAUAAUUCUCAUAUAGCGAUCUUCUAUAUACUCUGAUCCAAAUAAUAUUAUUGAUCUUACAGUACCAGAAGGUAUCCAUGGUAUUUGUGAAACAUAUCCUAUUG